rnacentral:misc_RNA from 1 species
AUAAAGACAUAUUAUGUAUAUAGUACAUUAAAUUAUAUGCCCCAUGCAUAUAAGCAAGUACAUAAUUCCUAUUGAUAGUACAUAGUACAUGAAAUUAUUAAUCGUACAUAACACAUUAUGUCAAACCUACUCUUAACAACAUGUAUGCCUCCUCCACUAGAUCACGAGCUUAACUACCAUGCCGCGUGAAACCAGCAACCCGCUAGGCGGAGGACUCCUCUUCUCGCUCCGGG